rnacentral:rRNA from 1 species
AUUGAACGCUGGCGGCAGGCUUAACACAUGCAAGUCGAGCGGGGGAAGGUAGCUUGCUACCGGACCUAGCGGCGGACGGGUGAGUAAUGCUUAGGAAUCUGCCUAUAGUGGGGGACAACAUCUCGAAAGGGAUGCUAAUACCGCAUACGUCCUACGGGAGAAAGCAGGGGAUCUUCGGACCUUGCGCUAAUAGAUGAGCCUAAGUCGGAUUAGCUAGUUGGUGGGGUAAAGGCCUACCAAGGCGAGGAUCUGUAGCGGGUCUGAGAGGAUGAUCCGCCACACUGGGACUGAGACACGGCCCAGACUGCUACGGGAGGCAGCAGUGGGGAAUAUUGGACAAUGGGGGGAACCCUGAUCCAGCCAUGCCGCGUGUGUGAAGAAGGCCUUAUGGUUGUAAAGCACUUUAAGCGAGGAGGAGGCUACUUUAGUUAAUACCUAGAGAUAGUGGACGUUACUCGCAGAAUAAGCACCGGCUAACUCUGUGCCAGCCGCCGCCGUAA